AACGAACGCUGGCGGCAGGCUUAACACAUGCAAGUCGAACGCCCCGCAAGGGGAGUGGCAGACGGGUGAGUAACGCGUGGGAAUCUACCCAACCCUGCGGAAUAGCUCUGGGAAACUGGAAUUAAUACCGCAUACGCCCUACGGGGGAAAGAUUUAUCGGGGAUGGAUGAGCCCGCGUUGGAUUAGCUAGUUGGUGGGGUAAAGGCCUACCAAGGCGACGAUCCAUAGCUGGUCUGAGAGGAUGAUCAGCCACAUUGGGACUGAGACACGGCCCAAACUCCUACGGGAGGCAGCAGUGGGGAAUAUUGGACAAUGGGCGCAAGCCUGAUCCAGCCAUGCCGCGUGAGUGAUGAAGGCCUUAGGGUUGUAAAGCUCUUUCACCGGU
rnacentral:rRNA from 1 species